AGGAGCCGGAAUAUGGAUCUGGGUAUGGUAGAAGGAAGGAAGAAGGUGAAUACGGGUCAGGAUAUGGUGGAAGAAAGGAGGAACCGGAAUAUGGAUCCGGGUAUGGUAGGAAAGAAGAGGGUGAAUACGGGUCAGGAUAUGGGUCCGGGUAUGGUGGGAGAAAGGAGGAGUCUGAAUAUGGAUCUGGGUAUGGUGGAAGAAAGGAAGAACCUGAAUAUGGAUCUGGGUAUGGUGGGAGAAAGGAGGAAUCUGAAUAUGGAUCCGGGUAUGGUGGGAGAAAGCAAGAAUCUGAAUAUGGAUCCGGGUAUGGUGGCAGGAAGGAGGAACCAGAAUAUGGAUCCGGAUAUGGUGGAAGGAAGGAGGAAUCUGAAUAUGGAUCAGGAUAUGGAGGAAGGAAGCAAGAAUCAGAAUAUGGAUCCGGGUAUGGUGGAAGAAAGGAGGAGAGUGAAUAUGGAUCCGGGUAUGGAGGGAGGAGUGAGUAUGAGGAGAAACCUAGCUAUGGGAGGAGCAACUAUGAGAGCCAAGGAGGAGGAGGAAGGGUUGAGUAUGGUUAUGAGGGGCGUCCACCCCGGCAGGAGGAGGAGGAGGGGUUCCGCAAGCCCUCCUAUGAGAGGAAGGCUGAUGAUGAUGAUGAUGAGGGCUAUGGUCGUAAGAAAUAUGUGAGUACUAGUACUACUCUUUCCAUUCCUUACUCAUGAGUGAAUGGCCUAUGAUCGAUAGUGUACAGAGAUUUUACUUUGUUAUUUGAUCACAAACUGUCAUAUACAAUAAGUUUAUUGAUUACUACCUUAGGAGUCUUUUUCUUUUCUUCUUUUUUAUUGACAAAUGUUAAUUGUUAGUUUUAUCCGCAGAGGAGGUCAAACUCGCGACCUUUCCCCUCUUCCCUUCUCCCUUAACCACCUAACCCACUUUAUAUCU
rnacentral:lncRNA from 1 species